rnacentral:lncRNA from 1 species
CGGAGAGGAUAGGUUUCGUCGCAAAUCGGCGACCAAAUCUGACGAAACAAAAUUGUAGAUUCGAUGCCCCAAUCGUGCUGAACGCGCUGGCGUGAUCCGAUCGAAAAUCCGACGGACGGACCUCCGAGAAUCGCAUAAUGUUCGCUGAGGGGUCGAAAUUGGCAAAACGGAAAAUCUGCGAAAAGCCCAAUAUUUUUUCGCCCAAUAUUUUAUGUACCGUUCUGCACGAUUUCGAAUGUCGAGGUGUGUACGCGCGAAACACUCGCGCUAUGAGGGACUUAGGGCAAAAAUGUUCAGCUCAGGAGGACUAAAUUGCAUUUUUGGCCAACAUAUAUAAAUAUUGCAACUAGGGUUCCAUGCAA